GAUGAACGCUGGCGGCGUGCCUAAUACAUGCAAGUCGAGAGAACGGACGAGAAGCUUGCUUUUCUGAUGUUAGCGGCGGACGGGUGAGUAACACGUGGAUAACCUACCUAUAAGACUGGGAUAACUUCGGGAAACCGGAGCUAAUACCGGAUAAUAUUUUGAACCGCAUGGUUCAAAAGUGAAAGACGGUCUUGCUGUCACUUAUAGAUGGAUCCGCGCUGCAUUAGCUAGUUGGUAAGGUAACGGCUUACCAAGGCAACGAUGCAUAGCCGACCUGAGAGGGUGAUCGGCCACACUGGAACUGAGACACGGUCCAGACUCCUACGGGAGGCAGCAGUAGGGAAUCUUCCGCAAUGGGCGAAAGCCUGACGGAGCAACGCCGCGUGAGUGAUGAAGGUCUUCGGAUCGUAAAACUCUGUUAUUAGGGAAGAACAUAUGUGUAAGUAACUGUGCACGUCUUGACGGUACCUAAUCAGAAAGCCACGGCUAACUACGUG
rnacentral:rRNA from 1 species